AAAUGUUACAGCUCUUUUAGAAUUUAUCUAGCAGGUUUUCUGGUUACUAUAAGAGAAGGGGGAACCACC
ensembl:snRNA U7 U7 small nuclear RNA